CCGGGAAUAGGAUGCUCUGGCAGCGUGAGGUCGAUCGCUGUAUCAUCACUAUAGCUCUUAUGUGAUGGUUGUCGGUUAGAGAAACUCCCACAGCAGUUAUUGUAUUUUCAUACACAGAAAGUAUUGUAUUUUAUAUACAUCAGUUCAUUGUAUUUCUAUAUACAUCUCAAGCUUAUUGUAUCUUUGCAUACAUACAGAGUUUAUAGCAUGUUUUAAACAGUCUUUCUUUAUAUCGCACUUGUUUUAAAUUGCCUUAUAUUGAAAGAAGUCAGUCAGGUUGAGUUGAGUUGAGCCAGGUAAGCUAUUCAGUUUCUUCCAGAUCUCUAGAUCUCCUGCUAGCCUUUGUUGCUUAGUUCCAGCUCGCAUACUCGUACAUUCCAUGUACUGAUGCCAGUUGGCCUGCAUCUUAUUAUGAUGCAGAUACAGGUACCCCGGAUCAGCAUCCUGCACGUCGUUGAUCCAGCUGAG
rnacentral:lncRNA from 1 species